GAUGAACGCUGGCGGCUUGCCUAAUACAUGCAAUUCGAGCGAACAGACUAGGCGCUUGCUCCUCUGACGUUAUCGGCUGACGGGUGAGUCACACGUGGCUCACCUACCUAUAAGACUGGGCUAACUUCUGUAAACCGGCGCUAAUACCGCAUAAUAUAUUUAACCGCAUGGCUCAAUCUUUCAAGACGGUUUUGCUGUCACUUCUAGAUGGAUCCGCGCCGCAUUAUCUAGUUGGUAAGGUAACGGCUUACCAAGGCAACGAUGCGUAGCCGACCUGAGAGGGUGAUAGGCCACAAUGGAACUGAGACACGGUCCAGACUCCUACGGGAGGCAGCAGUAGGGAAUCUUGAGCAAUGGGCGAAAGCCUGACGGAGCAAUGCCGCGUGAGGGAUGAAGGUCUUCGGAUCGUAAAACGCUGUUAUUAGGGAAGAAAAAAUGUGUAAGUAAAUAGGGAGGUCUUGACGGUACCGAAAGAGAAAGCAACGGCUAACUACGUG
rnacentral:rRNA from 1 species